AUGCAGGGCUACCUGACAGCGCUCCGGGAGUCGGAGAACAUGCCGCAGCCGCCGCCGCUUGUUCUGGAGUACAUUCAGGUCGCCCCGGGCGCCGUCCACCCGGAGGACCCGGAGGACUUUCCCGGGUAUCACGCCGCGCUCGAGGACUCGAUGGCUGCGCCGGCCGUGCCCGUGGUGCCCCUCGACGACAGUAGCAGCAGCGACGACAGCGACAACGGCGACGGGCUCUAUGACGAGGCAGACUUCGGCAGCGUGGAGGACGAGUAG
rnacentral:rRNA from 1 species